GACGAACGCUGGCGGCGUGCCUAAUACAUGCAAGUCGAACGCUGAAGGAGUAGCUUGCUUCUCUGGCUGAUUUGCGAACGGGUGAGUAACGCGUAUGUAACCUGCCCUGCAGCGGGGGAUAACUAUUGGAAACGAUACCUAAUACCGCAUAAGAGUAGAUGUUCCAUUACAUUUGCUUAAAAUGUGCACUUGCAUCACUACCAUAUGCAGCUGCGUUGUAUUAUCUAGUUGGGGAGGUAACGGCUCACCAAGGCGACGAUACAUAGCCUAGCUGAGAAGGUGAUCGGCCAAACUGGGACUGAGACAACGCCCAGAAUUCUACCGGAAGCAACAAGAGGGGAACAUCGGAAAUGGGCGGAAGGCUGGCCGAACAACGCCGCGUGGGUGAAGGAGGUUUUCGGGUCGUAAAGCUCUGUUGUAAGGGAAGAAAGAGUGUGAGAGUGGAAAGUUCACGCUGUGACGGUACCUUAACAGAAAGAAACGGCUAACUACGUG
rnacentral:rRNA from 1 species